rnacentral:lncRNA from 10 species
CGGUGAACAUCUACCUCAGAAGUCACAACAGACAUCGUAGACUGAAUGGGUGGUCCCCAGAAAGAUAUGUCCAAGUCCUAAUCCCCAGUUCCUGGGGACUGCCACCAAAGAUUGCCAGCAGCCACCAGAAGCAAGGAGGAAGUAUGGAAUGGGCUGUCCCUAAGAGCCCCCAGAAGGAACUAACCCUGCCAACCGACACCUUGAUUUC